rnacentral:rRNA from 1 species
AUACGGAGGAUCCGAGCGUUAUCCGGAUUUAUUGGGUUUAAAGGGUGCGCAGGCGGGAGAUUAAGUCGGCGGUGAAAUUUUGCAGCUCAACUGUAAAAAUGCCUUCGAAACUGGGUUCCUUGAGUGUAGAUGAAGUAGGCGGAAUUUGUGGUGUAGCGGUGAAAUGCAUAGAUAUCACGAGGAACUCCGAUUGCGCAGGCAGCUUACUAAACUACUACUGACGCUCAGGCACGAAGGCGUGGGGAUCAAACAGGAUUAGAUACCCUGGUAGUCCACGCAGUAAACGAUGAUUACUAGCUGUUUGCGAUACAAUGUAAGCGGCUGAGCGAAAGCGUUAAGUAAUCCGCCUGGGGAGUACGUUCGCAAGAAUGAAACUCAAAUGAAUUGACGGGG